rnacentral:rRNA from 1 species
CACUCCUGCGGGAGGCAGCAGUGGGGAAUUUUGGACAAUGGGCGAAAGCCUGAUCCAGCAAUGCCGCGUGUGUGAAGAAGGCCUUCGGGUUGUAAAGCACUUUUGUCCGGAAAGAAAUCCUUGGCUCUAAUACAGUCGGGGGAUGACGGUACCGGAAGAAUAAGCACCGGCUAACUACGUGCCAGCAGCCGCGGUAAUACGUAGGGUGCGAGCGUUAAUCGGAAUUACUGGGCGUAAAGCGUGCGCAGGCGGUUUGCUAAGACCGAUGUGAAAUCCCCGGGCUCAACCUGGGAACUGCAUUGGUGACUGGCAGGCUAGAGUAUGGCAGAGGGUGGUAGAAUUCCACGUGUAGCAGUGAAAUGCGUAGAGAUGUGGAGGAAUACCGAUGGCGAAGGCAGCCCCCUGGGCCAAUACUGACGCUCAUGCACGAAAGCGUGGGGAGCAAACAGGAUUAGAAACCCUAGUAGUCCCAUGAU